rnacentral:sRNA from 1 species
UCGAGGCGGUCGGUAGCCCGCGCGGUUCGAGAAAUCGCAAAAAGGUAAUCAAGUUCGAUCCUUCCACCGCCAACCGG